GUCAGUUAGGGUCCAGUCAGGAGAUAGGAACCAGGCCAGUUAUUUUCACAGAGAAAUUGGUGUAAACAAUUCUAGGCCAGGCAGUGGAGAGCUGGAGAUGCAGAGGGCACAGAGGGAGCAGCUGCAGAGGGCAGCUGUCGCCCUUGGGGCUGGGGAGCAGAGGGCAGACGUUGAGACCGCUGAAGCUUAGAAGCCUAGAGAAGGGGACCCAUUCCUCUCAGCACCAGUAGGUCUUGGUGUCUCCGGAAGGGAGGGAGGGUGGUACAGUGUGGCUGGCACUGAGAAACUCCAAGCAGGAUCUCUAUGCUGUAGGCAGAGCCGCUGAGGUCCGGGGAGAGAAGGAGUGUUCCUGGGGCCGUGCUGACCUAAUGGGAAGCGGGCAGGAAGUAGCAGGCCACCUCACCCUGUGUCUCUCCUUCUAGCACCACUCCCCGCCUCUUUGAAAAAGCCUCACAGGAAGCAGCUGGCAAAGGAGCAAUGGGGUGUGUGGGGUCCCGUAGAGCAUCACAAGACCGGAGGUGGAAGGUGCCUUGGAGCUGAGCGGCCACGCCUUAAUAACUGGUGUAAUCUCUCAGGUCCCUGCAGUGAUGGUAGGACUGUGGCAUCAGGAGGACCAAGAAGAAGACAUUCACUCUCUCCAAGGUGCUCCGUAGGGAAGUGAGGCACGUGGGAUAAGCAGAGACCUGGAGCUGGCGGCCUCGAGGAGGGACCCCUAUUGGGAAGCCUGAGCUGCACGAAGAUUGUUUGCCGUGCACAGGUAGCCUUCAUCUGAUGGAAUGGAUUAGGAGCCUAAUUUUGGGGAGGGAACCAUUGUCUUUGAACC
rnacentral:lncRNA from 1 species